rnacentral:rRNA from 1 species
UACGGAGGGGGCUAGCGUUGUUCGGAAUUACUGGGCGUAAAGCGCACGUAGGCGGCCUUGUAAGUUAGAGGUGAAAGCCCAGGGCUCAACCCUGGAAUUGCCUUUAAGACUGCAUCGCUUGAACACGGGAGAGGUGAGUGGAAUUCCGAGUGUAGAGGUGAAAUUCGUAGAUAUUCGGAAGAACAUCAGUGGCGAAGGCGGCUCACUGGACCGUUGUUGACGCUGAGGUGCGAAAGCGUGGGGAGCAAACAGG